ACACCUUUAAAAUUCAAAUAUAGAAUUUUGGAUACUUCAAAAUAAAGUUUUUUUUUGGAGAUGCUCUAACUCAAUACUUGCGCUGAACCACAAUUAGACAAGAAAUCAAGUAGCGAAAUAGACUGAAAAAAAUGGUCGCUUAUUUUGUAUUAUUUAUUUGUCCGAAUGUAUUUAAUUUUUGCGCUAUACUUCUUUCCAUAUAUGAUGUAUUAUUUUAUAUGAUUCUAGUUUUACAGUAAUACAACUUCUUUUUUUUAUUAAUUAAGGUAGACAUAAAUAUACUUCUAAUUUCCUUACAUGCACAAAUCUUAAUAUCAUAGUGUUAUAGAUAUAAAUUAUAUAACUACUUAAUUCUUUUUUUGGGUCAAAAUAUAAUUAAAUAAUCCAUGAAUGUGUUUUCUUAUGAAUAUAUAUUAUUAUACUGUUACAAUUUUAAAAAUCAGAAAAUAAGAUAUGAUUAUAAUGUAGUAAUACGUAUAGUUAGUAUACAUUUUUAACAUUGUUGUCAAUGACUGACUAAAAUAUAGGUAUAUCUUUAUAUAUAAAGAAGAGUUUGAAUCUCUCCUGAGCAAUACACGUUGGAUUACACGUAGAUAAUUCGUUCGUUUUCGCGCGGACACGUGUCCAAGAAAAUCGAAACUCGGCGUUUCAUUUAAUAUUGAGUCUGGAACUAAACGCAGCGUUGUCGUCUAGGGUUAUUCCCGUGUUCUUCUUCGCCUCUUCUGCGUCAAGCAAUCUUCCAUCUUCUUCAUCACAAAGAUACCAGUUACAGAUUAAUACCCUUAAAACCUUCAAUUAAUAUUUCAUUCACGAUCUACAUUUAAUGAGAGUUCUGCUUCUCCAAGGCGGUGGAGGUUCUAAUAUAAAAAGGCUGGCCGCUCCUCCUGCACUGGUCAAGUCCGGAUCCGUUUCUGGGAGACUAGGAAUGUCCGCCGUGGUGGAGAGCUCCUGGUCCUGGGAGUGGAUAUGCUGCUACUAGAUUCUCAGGAUUGGUAAUUCGCGUGGUUUUGCAUUUGUUCGAUUUAAGUAUAAAAACGAAGCUCCCAAAGCAGUGGAAAGGCUUGAAGUUACUGCCACCCAUUCGCACGUUUAGUGUUUUCAAUGGAAUGCAGCAGUCGAGUUUGUGUGGGUGGUGAACACGAAAGAAAAAGUUGUAGCAAAUCAUCUCAAGCUGGAGAUAAUUCGGCUUGGGAAGAAGGAGCUUCAUGAAGCAAAAAGUGUGGGUGAAACCAAGGUUGAACUUCAAGGAGUUGCAGGAGUUCAAGCAUGCUGGUGAUGAUUCCCUUACCAUUACUCCCUCCUAUCUUGACUGCAAAUAAGAUGAACAUGAAUCUAGAUGGGGGGAAGUUCCAUGAGGUGAUCAUUUUUCUUUUCAAAACUUUCUUCCUCGCAUUGGUUUUGUUAGUUUUCUCAGAGCUGUGUUUGAUCCAAUGGAACGAUCAGAUUUGAUGUGGGGAGAAAAUGAGCUUAUGGCUCAAGAAAUCUGUCUUAUUCUCACCAACUCAUUAACACAAAUCUUAGCAUUUGUUUCAUGUCUGAUCUUGGAGUCAUUGGUGAGAUUCAACAUGUUGGAAAGAGGUCUACUUGGAUAGACCCAUCAUCACUCGAAUGUUUGUUAUCAGCAACGGUGAACAGCAUCAACACAUCGACAGAACACGAUGACAGAACAAAGAGAUGACGACAGCAACAACAGCAAGCCAAGUCUUUGAAGAGAAACAGUGACGGGACAGGAAGUCACUUCCGUAUUUUUCACUAUUUUAUGGAGGGUCAAACCAGAAAUUAGCAAGACGGAGACCAAGUGGAAAACCCGAUGAAAUCAUAACAGAACAUUUGUCUUUAAGAGCUGAAACAAUGAAUCUUGAAAGUCGAAACAAUUCCAUUUCUCGCAUUUGUCAAAAGAACCACAAUCAAUAUAUGUUAACUUAUACAUUAUCUCACUAAAUAUUCACACCUUUA